rnacentral:rRNA from 1 species
UAAUACCGGCUGCUCGAGUGAUGGCCACUAUUACUGGGUUUAAGGCGUCCGUAGGCUUGAUUGAUUAAGUCUCUUGGGAAAUCUUACGCUUAACGUUAAGGCGUCUAAGAGAUACCGUCAGUCUUGGAACUGGGAGAGGUAAACCGGAAUUCGCGGGUAGGAGUGAAAUCUUGUUAUCCUCGAGGGACGACCUAUGGCGAAAGCAGUUUACCAGAACAGCUUCGACAGUGAGGGACGAAAGCUGGGGGAGCAAACGGGAUUAGAUACCCCGGUAGUCCCAGCCGUAAACAAUGUGCGUUAGGUGUAUCGGUAACCACGCGUUACUGAUGCGCCGCAGAGAAAUCGUGAAACGCACCACCUGGGAAGUACGGUCGCAAGGCUGAAACUUAAAGG